UUGUCUGUUCAGAUUCAGGCCUGUAUUUCUCACCUGCUUGCUCCAUUGUACUUCCUACCGCCCUCACCUGAUGCUGCUGUUUUCCUGGUCAUCUCCUCUGUGGCUCCCCAUUACCUUUGGUGCCCCCUGGUGUCACCUAAACAAGAGACCUGUUCUUCUUCAGACCUGGAACUUCGUGGCUUCUAAGGGACAGUAGAGCCACUGGCCUUGGUGUUCUCUCUGCAUCUGGGGUUUCCGGUCCCUCGGCUUCGUCUGCACUGGCUGCUCCUCCCUUGGUCAACCUGGAAGGCUCCAUUUCAGCUGGCGGAGGUUCUGUGAUGAAUAGGAUGGGUCUAUCUACUAAGGGAGGCACCUGACAUUAGAGGUCUGUGCUGACUUGAGAGUCACAGCUUGCUGCUGCUGCCCAGCAUCCUAAAAAGGGUAGCUGCCAGUGGUCACAGGGUCUGAUUUUUAAAGUGGGGAACCCAUCUCCCACUCUGCCAGGAUCUCCUCGCGUUGCCAGGAUCUCCUCAGGAAAACAAGCUCAGCUGCUCAGCAGGCAGUGGCUUCUUGCAGGAAGCUGCAGACUUGGCGGGACAAUAGACUGCACCUAGGUUGGAAGCCUUCACCCUAGAGAAGCUCCAAAUCCGAAGUCCAACCAUUGCAAGUUGGAGACCUUCUCCACCAUGUCACGGUAUCCAUAGAAGUCCUUCCACACUGGGUGGCACCUGCAUCUAGCCAGCAUCACACACUAUAGCCACUCUGUGACCCCAGGACUAGGGGGCGUCAAUACAGGAAGGUUCUAGGCCUAGAAAGGUAGGGAAUCACUUGCUCAUAUAAGCUCAGCCUUUCGGGUUUUAGUCUGAGCCCUCCCCACCCCCCUAAGGCCUUAUUGUUCAUGUUCCCUUGGACUCCAAGAGAUCUCUACUGGGUAGGAAUCUUAGGACACUGGACUGCAGAACACCUGAAAGCAGAGUGCCCAGAAAGACGGGCCAGGCAUGAGCCCUGAUGUCUGUGGGAGCCAUGGUGUCUGGUGAGUGGGGUCACCUUGAGCACAGGGAGUCCUCAGGAAAGUUUGUCAAUAGCCUGGUGUGGGGCUCUACAUGAAAGAUGGCUGUAGAGAACACUGGAGAAUACAAUGAGGUCUGAGAGGUCCUGAGUAGGAAGACAGGAUGGGGAAGGCCUAUGGAAGAUUGACAAUAGAAGGCAGCUGGCAGAGACUGGACGGCUUUGAGAAGGUGCUAGGCAUGAAAAUGUAUGUUAGCAUCCCAGAACUGUGAGAACUGUGACUGAGCAAAGACGAAAGGUUUGCUCGCUCAGGGUAUUGGAGUUCUCAGGCUAUGCAAAGGCAGCUUGUCCUGAGGGGAGAAUGCGCCAGAUGAACGCUACUACCUUAUACCCAGGGAAGUGACAGACAGGAAGGCGCUGGGGUCCUGUCAUCCCUUCAAGGGCUCCCAAAGGUCAGAAGACAUCCUACCAGGCCCUGUGUCUUAGAGCCUCCAUCACCCCCACGCCCCAAUCCGGAGACGAGGCAGUUAUGGUCUUUGGAUGGCAUCUUAGAUCAAAUAAUAACGGUAGCAAUUAACAGAUAAUGUGGGCUAUACGUCCUUACAGCAGAACAGUCAAGAACAGUGAAAGUUUAUCAUCUGCAACAGUAUGAAGAGAAGCGGGGGCGGGGAUGGGGAGCGUUUGCUGAGUGAGGUAAGCUAGGCGUAGAAAGACCAACAUCAUGCAAUCUCAUUUCUCUGUGUGCUCUGUCCUGUGGCUGUGGUUGGUGUCAUGUAACUGCAGCCCCAGCACGUGGAAGGCAGACACACAUUAGGGCAUCCCUGGGCUACAUGAGACCCUGUCUCAAAACCACUAUCACAACCAAACCAAACCAAACCAAAAGAAAAUAAAAACUAUUUAACCCUAAAAUAGGAGGGUGGCUGACUGGCUGAGGCUGAGAGGUAGAGGAGAUGAUGGCCAGACAGGGAGGGAGGAGAGGAGGGGCAUUAUUUAUUUAUUUUUUAA